AGAGUUUGAUCAUGGCUCAGGACGAACGCUGGCGGCGUGCUUAACACAUGCAAGUCGAACGAGACGAUUGAAAGCUUGCUUUUGAAAGUCGAGUGGCAAACGGGUGAGUAACGCGUAGGCAACCUGCCUCUAGGAUGGGGACAACAGUCCGAAAGGACUGCUAAUACCGAAUGUUGUAGAUAUUCCGCAUGGAGUACCUAUUAAAGAUGGCCUCUACUUGUAAGCUAUCACCUAGAGAUGGGCCUGCGUCUGAUUAGCUAGUUGGUGGGGCAACGGCCUACCAAGGCGACGAUCAGUAGCCGGUCUGAGAGGAUGAACGGCCACAUUGGAACUGAGACACGGUCCAGACUCCUACGGGAGGCAGCAGUGGGGAAUCUUCCGCAAUGGGCGAAAGCCUGACGGAGCAACGCCGCGUGAGUGAAGAAGGCCUUCGGGUCGUAAAGCUCUGUUGUCGGGGACGAAUGUAGUAACCAUCAACAACGGUAACUAAUGACGGUACCUGACGAGGAAGCCACGGCUAACUACGUGCCAGCAGCCGCGGUAAUACGUAGGUGGCGAGCGUUGUCCGGAAUUAUUGGGCGUAAAGGGAGCGCAGGCGGGAGGCCAAGUCCAUCCUAAAAGUUCGGGGCUCAACCCCGUGAGGGGAUGGAAACUGGUCUUCUUGAGUGCAGGAGAGGAAAGCGGAAUUCCUAGUGUAGCGGCGAAAUGCGUAGAUAUUAGGAGGAACACCAGUGGCGAANGCGGCUUUCUGGACUGUAACUGACGCUGAGGCUCGAAAGCCAGGGGAGCGAACGGGAUUAGAUACCCUGGUAGUCCACGCCGUAAACGAUGAGCACUAGGUGUCGGGGCCGUAAAGGCUUCGGUGCCGCAGUUAACGCAAUAAGUGCUCCGCCUGGGGAGUAUGCACGCAAGUGUUAAACUCAAAGGAAUUGACGGGGACCCGCACAAGCAGCGGAGCAUGUGGUUUAAUUCGAAGCAACGCGAAGAACCUUACCAGGACUUGACAUCCCCCUGACAGGGCUUUAAAAGGCCCCUUCUUCGGACAGGGGAGACAGGUGGUGCAUGGUUGUCGUCAGCUCGUGUCGUGAGAUGUUGGGUUAAGUCCCGCAACGAGCGCAACCCUUGCCUUUAGUUGCCAUCAUCAAGUUGGGCACUCUAGAGGGACUGCCGGGGACAACUCGGAGGAAGGUGGGGAUGACGUCAAAUCAUCAUGCCCCUUAUGUUCUGGGCUACACACGUGCUACAAUGGCCGGUACAGCAGGAAGCGAAGCCGUGAGGCGGAGCGAACCCCAAAAGCCGGUCCCAGUUCGGACUGCAGGCUGCAACCCGCCUGCACGAAGUCGGAGUUGCUAGUAACCGCGGAUCAGCACGCCGCGGUGAAUGCGUUCCCGGGUCUUGUACACACCGCCCGUCACACCAUGGAAGUUGGUGGUGCCCGAAGUCGGUCAACAAAUCUACUGCCUAAGGCAAAACCAAUGACUGGGGUGAAGUCGUAACAAGGUAGCCGUA
rnacentral:rRNA from 1 species